rnacentral:rRNA from 1 species
UACGUAGGGUGCAAGCGUUGUCCGGAAUUAUUGGGCGUAAAGAGCGUGUAGGCGGCCAGGUAGGUCCGCUGUGAAAACUCGAGGCUCAACCUCGAGAUGUCGGCGGAAACCAUCUGGCUAGAGUCCGGAAGAGGAAAGUGGAAUUCCCGGUGUAGCGGUGAAAUGCGCAGAUAUCGGGAAGAACACCGGUGGCGAAGGCGGUUCUCUGGGCAUUACCUGACGCUGAGGAGCGAAAGCGUGGGGAGCAAACAGG